rnacentral:snRNA from 1 species
CUCUGAUUUCUCUUCAGAUCGUAUAAAUCUUUUGUCUUGUACUAAAGAUUUCCAUGCAGAAGAACGUUUAUUCUGUCAAAUAUAUUUUUAAUGUUAAUAAACUGUGAUAU